rnacentral:rRNA from 1 species
CCAUGAGACCGAUAGUAAACAAGUACCGUGAGGGAAAGUUGAAAAGAACUCUGAAUAGAGAGUUAAAUAGUACGUGAAACUGCUUAGAGGUUAAGCCCGAUGAACCUGAAUAUCCGUUAUAGAAAAUUCAUCAUUAUGAUUUUAAUAUUUAUAAUAUUAUAAUAAUGGUGUGCAUUUUUUCUAUAAAGGACAUUGUAAUCUAUUAACAUAAAAUAUAUUUAUCAUAAGAUCAUUUGUAUUAGUUUAUUCAAAUUAUAGUGCAUGCAUUUUAAUAUCGAAUAAGUGCUUAUGAUUUGAUAAAGUGUUGAUAGAUUUAUUAUAUAUAGUGCUUAAAUAUAUUAAUUAUUUUAUAAUAGCAUAUUAAUUAUUAAUUUUUGUGUUUAUUAUAUGCGCUUAUAUGAUUAACAAUGCGAAAGAUUCAGGAUACCUUCGGGACCCGUCUUGAAACACGGACCAAGGAGUCUAACAUAUUUGCAAGUUAUUGGGAAUAUAAAACCUAAUAGCGAAAUUAACAUAACUUAUAUAUUUAAUGGGAUUAGUUUUUAGCCUAUUUAUAGUCUAUUAAUUCAAUCCCGGGGCGUUCUAUACAGUUAUG